rnacentral:rRNA from 1 species
GAUGAACGCUAGCGGCAGGCUUAAUACAUGCAAGUCGAGGGGGAUCAGUUGGGUAGCAAUACCUGGCUGUGAGACCGGCAAACGGGUGAGGAACACGUACGCAACUUUCCCAAAACUGGUGAAUAGCCCUCCGAAAGGAGGAUUAAUACACCGUAACAUAACGAAAUGGCAUCAUUUUGUUAUUAUAGCAGCAAUGCGGUUUUGGAUAGGCGUGCGCCUGAUUAGGUAGUUGGCGGGGUAACGGCCCACCAAGCCUACGAUCAGUAACUGGUGUGAGAGCACGACCAGUCACACGGGCACUGAGACACGGGCCCCGACUCCUACGGGAGGCAGCAGUAAGGAAUAUUGGUCAAUGGACGAAAGUCUGAACCAGCCAUGCCGCGUGAAGGAUGAAGGCCCUCUGGGUUGUAAACUUCUUUUAUAGGGGACGAAAAAAGGGAUUACUUUCCCACUUGACGGUACCCUAGGAAUAAGCACCGGCUAACUCCGUGCCAGCAGCCGCGGUAAUUGA